AACGAACGCUGGCGGCAUGCCUAACACAUGCAAGUCGAACGAAGCCUUCGGGCUUAGUGGCGCACGGGUGCGUAACGCGUGGGAAUCUGCCUCUUGCUUCGGAAUAACAGUCAGAAAUGACUGCUAAUACCGGAUGAUGUCUUCGGACCAAAGAUUUAUCGGCAAGAGAUGAGCCCGCGUAGGAUUAGGUAGUUGGUGGGGUAAAGGCCUACCAAGCCGACGAUCCUUAGCUGGUCUGAGAGGAUGAUCAGCCACACUGGGACUGAGACACGGCCCAGACUCCUACGGGAGGCAGCAGUGGGGAAUAUUGGACAAUGGACGCAAGUCUGAUCCAGCAAUGCCGCGUGAGUGAUGAAGGCCUUAGGGUUGUAAAGCUCUUUUACCAGGGAUGAUAAUGACAGUACCUGGAGAAUAAGCUCCGGCUAACUCCGUGCCAGCCGCCGCAGUAAGAC
rnacentral:rRNA from 1 species